GGGAACUGGAUGGCACCUCUCCACAGGGCUGGGGCUUUGCAAGGAGCCCCAGUGCUGCCCUGAUGGGUGUCUGCUCCCCUCAGACUGUGACUCUCUGAACUCAAAGCUCCUUCAGGAAUAAACAGGCUGGAUGGGGCUUGGA